CAUACAGAGGAGCCAGAUGGACUUGUGGUGGCUCGAGGACAAGGCUUCAGCAGGAGAUUAUACUAAUCACUGACUCGUACGCCUGUGAGCUUGAGUUCUACGUAGCACAAAAUCCAACAAAAGUUGUGAAGAGAUAUAUUUCCACAGAAGACAUAGAGAUGGCCAACAGUACAUGAAGAGAUGCUCACCAUCACUGAUCAUCAGGGAACUGCAAAUUGAAACCACAUCCUAGAAUCAGCCAUUGUUCUGAAGAGUCCUGGUUGUCUUCAUUGGAGAAUGAUAGGAUAAAUGAAGAUCUGUGCCCAAGUACUGCCACUUGUAAUAUUCUUUUGACCGAGAGUGUUUGACACAGGGUGAAUACAAGACAACUCAAGAUGCCUCUGAAGGAACAGAAACACAAGCAUUAAUAACACAAAGGAAAAAACAGUGCACGACUUGGAGCCAUUUAUUGAAUUUGAUGACAUCAAUGCAGCAAAAGAUGA